rnacentral:tRNA from 1 species
GCGGAUGUAGCUCAGUUGGUAGAGCAUCACCUUGCCAAGGUGAAUGUCGCGGGUUCGAGUCUCGUCAUCCGCUC